UAUGUUAAUUUAACAUUGUUCAGGAGUACAAAACAGUGUUUAUGCAUUAAAUAUCAUGAGAAGACUGGAAAGAUGGUGAACCUAACUUAUCAAAUGAUGUAUAUAAUAUUUGGAAUGAAGCACAGACUCAGGGUUGACUUUCUUCCUGGUUCCAAAAUGUUUAAAAGAAAUGUCCAUUCAAAAGUGACAAGUGUUGUGGAUGCCUUUCAGCCAGUAGAAAUGAUGAAUUGGUAGCUUACAUGCAUGAUUUAGUAUGAAUCCACAGAUGAUUGCCUCAAAAAAUGACUGAAAAUGAAUUUAUUAUGACUCAUGUUCAGUUAUUUUAAUCGAAAAUUUGAGAUGGAGGCAUGCCUGAGCCAAGUUUAUGCCAUGACUGUUGACACAGAAGCUGAAAUGAACCACUUGUCUUUGGCUUCUUAUUUCAAUGCAAAUCUGCAUUAAAAAUUCAUAAAACGAUAUAAAGUUUUAGGACCGUGGAAGUGCUUCCAUGUGUUCGAUACAGGCAAAUAAUGGCUUCAUUCCCAUAUAAAAAUUAGAUAAACUUGGAACUCUGAAUCUGUUAAUAUAGACCAUGACUGCUGCCUCCCAGCCUUCACAGAAUCUCAUUUGACAUUACACAGCCCAGCUGUUUGUACAGUGUCGUGCAGUAACAGUCAGUUAUCUUCUGCAAGUAAUGGAACAUCCUUUCUGGAAAAUUAUCAUGUAGCAUAGGAUUCAGUAAUUACUGCUGCCUGGUCAUAGACCCUUUCUCUGCUUCAGGCUGUCCACUGGCUUCUUCGAGCAAAUGUUUCAGGAACUGCAAAGUUUGAACCAUGGUACUUGCAUGUUGGCCUAUGCUGUGCUGAUGAGAUCCUUCGGGAGCCAAACUUAGGGGAAGUUAUUGGUCAAGCUAAUCAUGCAUCAUGGAUGGCUUCAGCUGUUGGUGCACUUAAUGAAGUUGUCAUGUUUCUAGUAGAGGGAGAAUCACUGCCUGCUCUCACAGCAUCAGGGUUGAGUGCAGCCCUGAAUGAUCCUGAAACUGUAUGUGCAACCCACGCAUGUCAUUAGCUGGCAGUGUUAGUCCUUUGGCUUGAGAAAACAAGACAAAAAAUGAACAACAUUCCCAAGUUUCUUGCCAACCCUGUCAAGAGUCUUAUUGUGGGCUUAUCACGUUUGCCAUUGGCAAACUCCUAUGUUGCAACACAGCCUGAUGUAUGGCAACAAGGUUGGGCACCUGUGUUGAGUGGUCCAUCACACACUUUUGUACCACCUCUUCCAAUAGAUUACCUUCAAGACAUUGAUGUGCUACGACAACUUAUAUUCAGGUAUGA